ensembl:misc_RNA Metazoa_SRP Metazoan signal recognition particle RNA
GCCGGGCGUGGUGGUGCACGCCUGUAAUCCCAGCUACUUGGGAGGCUGAGGCAGGAGAAUCACUUGAACUCAGGAGGCAGAGGUUGCAGUGAGCUGAGAUCAUACCAUUGCACUCCAGCCUGGGCAACAGAGCGAGACUCUGUCUCAA